rnacentral:lncRNA from 1 species
GCUGUCUACGGUGGUGGACGUGAUCGCACUAGGCCGAGCGAGGAUGAAGCACAACCCGAUUAUGGACGCCAUAGGCCUUCUUACGGUGGAGAAGAAGAAGAGUCGGGCUACCGCAAGCCAAGACCUGCAUACGGUGAAGAAGAAGAAGAGUCGGGCUACCGCAAGCCAAGACCCUCAUACGGCGAAGAAGAAUCCGAGGAAGGGGGAUACCGCAAGUCCAGACCUUCCUACGGCGAGGAAGAGUCCGAGGAGGGAGGAUACCGCAAAUCGAGACCCUCAUAUGGCGAGGAAGAGUCCGAGGAGGGAGGAUACCGCAAAUCCAGACCCUCAUAUGGCGAGGAAGAGUCCGAGGAGGGAGGAUACCGCAAAUCCAGACCCUCAUAUGGCGAGGAAGAGUCCGAGGAGGGAGGAUACCGCAAGCCGAAACCUAAAUACGGCGACGACGAGGAGGUGUCCGAUUACCGUAGGUCAGGAUACGGUGAAGAAGAAGAGUCUGGUUAUCGCGAACCGAAGC